rnacentral:rRNA from 1 species
UACGUAGGGGGCAAGCGUUAAUCGGAAUUACUGGGCGUAAAGCGUGCGCAGGCGGCUUUGCAAGACAGAUGUGAAAUCCCCGGGCUCAACCUGGGAACUGCAUUUGUGACUGCAAGGCUAGAGUACGGUAGAGGGGGAUGGAAUUCCGCGUGUAGCAGUGAAAUGCGUAGAUAUGCGGAGGAACACCGAUGGCGAAGGCAAUCCCCUGGACCUGUACUGACGCUCAUGCACGAAAGCGUGGGGAGCAAACAGG